rnacentral:rRNA from 1 species
UACGGAGGGGGCUAGCGUUGUUCGGAAUUACUGGGCGUAAAGCGCACGUAGGCGGCUUUGUAAGUUAGAGGUGAAAGCCUGGGGCUCAACUCCAGAAUUGCCUUUAAGACUGCAUCGCUUGAAUUGCGGAGAGGUGAGUGGAAUUCCGAGUGUAGAGGUGAAAUUCGUAGAUAUUCGGAAGAACACCAGUGGCGAAGGCGGCUCACUGGACGCAUAUUGACGCUGAGGUGCGAAAGCGUGGGGAGCAAACAGG